rnacentral:lncRNA from 1 species
AUUGUGACUUGUGACAUGAGGUCAGGUGUGGAAUUUUCUACUUGUGGCAUCAUGUCAGCCCUUGAAAAGUUCCAGAUUUGGAGUAUUUCAUAUUUUGGUUUUUCAGAUUAGUGAUACUCAACCUGUAUUAUAUUAUUAUAUUUACUUAUGAACCCUAAAUUUUAAAAGAUUUCUUAAUAAAGAAAAUUAGAUAAAGAAAAUGUGGUAUAUAUACUCAAUGGAUUUUUUUUUCAGCAAUAAAGAAAAAUGAAAUUACGUCAUUUGCUGGUAAAUGGUUGGGACUGGAGAAUAUCAUGCUAAGUGAAAUAAGCCAGACACAGAAAAGUCAAGAGUUGAAUGUUUUCUCUCAUAUGCAGAAGCUGGAGAGAAAAGAGGAUUUUUUUUUUAAAAAAAUGGAGAUCUAAUGAAAAGAGAAAACAGUUGAGUAGAAGGAGAAGAUUAGGGGGAGGGAGGAGAUAUGGAAAAGGAGAGAAACUAUGGAAUUAAAUUGAUCAAGUUAUGCUAUAUACAUGUAUGAAUAUAUCAUAAUAAAUUUCACAUAUAUGUAUAACUAUAAUGCACUCAUUAAAAACAAAUCAAUGGAAGGAAGACCAAGUAGAGGAGAAGAAGGGGAUCAAGAAGAAGGAGGAGAAAAGGGAAGGGGGAAAGUAUGGGGAUUGAAAUGGAGUAAAUUCUGUUACAUAUAUUUAUGAAUAUGUCAAGAUGAACCCCUCAAUUGUGUAUAACUAUAAUGCACUAAUAAAGAUCACUUAAA